UCUGUACUGCGGCGAUAGAGGUGAAAUUCUUGGACCGUCGCAAGACAAACUAAAGCGAAAGCAUUUGCCAAGAAUGUUUUCAUUGAUCAAGAACGAAAGUUAGAGGUUCGAAGGCGAUCAGAUACCGCUCUAGUUCUAACAGUAAACUAUGCCAACUAGCAAUCCGCCUGAGUUUGUUUUUUGACUCGGCGGGCAGCUCCGAGAAAUCGAAGUUUCGGUUCCGGGGGGAGUAUGGUUGCAAAGUCGAAACUUAAAGGAAUUGACGGAAGGGCACCACCAGUUGUGGAGCCUGCGGUUUAAUUUGACUCAACGCGCGAAAACUCACCAAGCCCGGACACUGGAAGGAUUGACAGAUUAAGAGCUCUUUCUUAAUUCGGUGGAUGGUGGUGCAUGGCCGUUCUUCGUUCGUGGAGCGAUCUGUCUGAUUAAUUUCGAUAACGAACGAGACUCUAUCUUACUAAAUAGGCGUAAUGUCCUAUAGUACCUUACGGUAAACUUCUUAGAAGGACAAGUUGCUUUCAGCAACA
rnacentral:rRNA from 1 species